GCCGAAGUAGCUCAGUUGGUAGAGCAACUGAUUCGUAAUCAGUAGGUCGGAGGUUCGAUUCCUCUCUUCGGCACCA
rnacentral:tRNA from 1 species